CUGGGGUUGUGGCUCAAGUGGUAGAGUGCUCGCCUAGCACAUGUGAGGCACUGGGUUCGAUCCUCAGUUUUAGG
rnacentral:tRNA from 1 species